AAAACUUACCAGGUCAAGACAUGGGCGUGAUUGACAGGCUAAUGACUUUUCUCGAUUCCAUGGAUGGUGGUGCAUGGUCGCACUUAGUUGGUGCAGUGAUUUGUCAGGUUUAUUCCGGUAACGAACGAGACCUCGGCCUUGUAAAUAGCUAUGCUGCUUACAGGGACAUUGGCGGCUACGCCAAGGAAGCUCGAGGCAAUUGCAGAUCUGGGAUGCCCUUAGAUGUCCUGGGUCGCACGCGUGCUACAAUGACGCCACGAACGAGCUUGCGUGAUGAAAGUUACGCAUAAUCAGCAGUCGGCGUCUUAAGGGAUAGUCUCUUGUAACUGUGGGACUCCAACUAGGAAUGUCUCGUAAGCACAAGUCAACAUCUUGUGUUGAUUACGUCCCUGCUCUUUGUACACACCGCCCGUCGCUCCUACCGAUCGAGUGUUUAGGUGAAUUUGAUGGACGUAAGGAAGUCAAAUAAACCUGAGCACUAGAGAAGAGAAGUCGAGAUC
rnacentral:rRNA from 1 species